GACGAACGCUGGCGGCGUGCCUAAUACAUGCAAGUAGAACGCUGAAGGAGGAGCUUGCUUCUCUGGAUGAGUUGCGAACGGGUGAGUAACGCGUAGGUAACCUGCCUGGUAGCGGGGGAUAACUAUUGGAAACGAUAGCUAAUACCGCAUAAUAGUAGAUGUUGCAUGACAUUUGCUUAAAAGGUGCAAUUGCAUCACUACCAGAUGGACCUGCGUUGUAUUAGCUAGUUGGUGGGGUAACGGCUCACCAAGGCGACGAUACAUAGCCGACCUGAGAGGGGGAUCGGCCACACUGGGACUGAGACACGGCCCAGACUCCUACGGGAGGCAGCAGUAGGGAAUCUUCGGCAAUGGACGGAAGUCUGACCGAGCAACGCCGCGUGAGUGAAGAAGGUUUUCGGAUCGUAAAGCUCUGUCGUAAGAGAAGAACGAGUGUGAGAGUGGAAAGUUCACACUGUGACGGUAUCUUACCAGAAAGGGACGGCUAACUACGUG
rnacentral:rRNA from 1 species